rnacentral:rRNA from 1 species
UACAGAGGUCUCAAGCGUUGUUCGGAUUCAUUGGGCGUAAAGGGUGUCGUAGGUGGCGCCGUAAGUCGGGUGUGAAAUUUCGGAGCUUAACUCCGAAACUGCAUUCGAUACUGCGGUGCUUGAGGACUGGAGAGGAGACUGGAAUUCAUGGUGUAGCAGUGAAAUGCGUAGAGAUCAUGAGGAAGACCAGUGGCGAAGGCGGGUCUCUGGACAGUUCCUGACACUGAGACACGAAGGCCAGGGGAGCAAACGGG